rnacentral:lncRNA from 1 species
AUAUUUUUAGAGCAGUCGAUCGGAGCGUGCGAGGACAACUUAAAACUGGGGAACUUGGAAGUCUCCCGAAGGAGCAGCUGAAGCCACAGACCCCAUUUCUACCCUCCCUACGGUCGAAGGGAUCUGGGCCCCAAUCUUCGGUUCACCCAAGGGUACAAACGUGGUUCGCAAAUCAUCACGUGACCCGAAACAACGACCUAUGCUGUGGGCGAGCGCGUGGGACGAGGAGAUGAAACGUGGGAGCAUCGCAUUCUUUGAGAUUCCAAAGGCGUCGGAGAUCAACGGCGCAGAUGUUUUCUCCGGUUCUUCCGUUUGUUUCCCCGAGCGGUUUGACGGGUGGGUGCAUCGUGUCGCUGUUUCGUCGUAAUGUGGUUCGGAUAAGCACGGGAGAAGGAAGAUAUUUAUUCCUACACAAGCAGGGGCCCACACCUCUCGCCCAAUCGUUUGACGGAAUCACAAAAGAAGAGCUAUUUAUCGGGUACCGAUACGAGCACGUUAAAGCUUUCCUUUUUAUUUGACUCGACAAAAUAAUACGCAGAAUCACAUACAAACCAAUACAUUUACACCAUUAACAUCUGCAGGUGUUGCUUCAGUUGAUGCUGCCAUGGCGAGAAGCUCCCGGUCUUCCAUCACACCUGCAGGUACAACUCUUGAAACCUCGACCGGAAGAUAGGAGCUGCGCAAAUCUUAAUGGUGGACCGAUUCGUUGACGACCAUGGGUGUUCUGCUCCUCGCCUCACCUACUUCCCACCGCCGGGGACGAAGGUUCCGGCGUAGCCGACUCCCAUGAGGAUGAAGGACAAG